UCAACCAUACACCAUGAAACCAUUACAGCUGAUAUGAUGAGAGUUGUGGUUGUAGACGUACGAAAUGCUACAGCUUGAGUCCCUGUGCCCACUGAGGAUGUUCAGACAGUGGGACAGGCCCUUGGAAAUUUUAUCCUUUGGCCCCUUAGAUUAUCAAGAGCAAUUGUAAAGAAGGUUGAAGCACAAGGGCAGGAAGAUAUGAAUGAAUCACUGCAACAACAGUUGCAGCCGCCACAACACAUAAUUCUAGAACAACUUGGUGUGUUGGCAGUGAAGAUCUCCCUUUCUCCUAUAGAGUUACAAAUGCCUCCUGAAGUCACAAACAGGACAUCUUCACUCUCUUUCUUCAUAUGUCAAAGGGAUAUUUUUGAAAUUCUCUCUGGCACUGAUAUGUUAUGUAUAUCAGUACUACAACUUUGGUUGUUGUAUUUACAUCGGUUGACCAUUGAAAAGAAGAAUGAUCACAUUUAUGGUUUUAUUGACCCUGUUGCCAUUCAAGGAGUUGGGAAUAAAGGUGAAGAGGUCCAAAACUACCUCUUAGAGGCUUUUGU